CCUACGGGAGGCAGCAGUGGGGAAUAUUGCGCAAUGGGGGCAACCCUGACGCAGCAACGCCGCGUGAUUGAAGAAGGCCUUCGGGUUGUAAAGAUCUUUAAUCGGGGACGAAUUUUGACGGUACCCGAAGAAUCAGCUCCUGCUAACUACGUGGCAGCAGCCGAGGUAAUACGGAGGGAGCCAGCGUUAUCCGGAUUUACUGGGUGUAAAGGGCGUGUAGGCGGGCAUGUAAGCCAGAGGUGAACUCUGAGGGCUUAACCCCCAACCAGCUGUUGGAACUGCGUGUCUUGAGUGAUGGAGAGGCAUGCGGAAUGCCCAGUGUAGCGGUGAAAUGCGUAGAUAUUGGGAGGAACACCAGUGGCGAAGGCGGCCUGCUGGACAUUAACUGACGCUGAGGCGCGAAAGCGUGGGGAGCGAACAGGAUUAGAUACCCUAGUAGUC
rnacentral:rRNA from 1 species